UGAAUGGAUUUAAAAGGUGACUGGAACACUUCUUUCUGACCUCAGAGAUGUGAUGGAUGUCCGGGAAGAUUUUCUCAAGGGCUAGAAGUUAAGAACUUUGUUCCUACUGUUUAUCUUUUUCCCUUUCAUAUUCAAGCCACUUAACCAUACUGAGCCUCAACUUUUUCAUUUAUAAAAUGGAAAUCAUUUUAACUUUUCUCUGGAGGACAGCUGUUGCCUGCCCAUCACUAUUUCCUCCUUUUCUGGUGACAACAUCCUACUUUCCUUCAAAGAAUAAUGCCUACCCCAUUAUAAUAACUUUUACACGGGGCUGUCCCAACACAUGCUGCCUUCAAGGCUAGGUGCAUGACACAGGCCUGGCCAAUCAGUGUGUCCAAUCCCUCUGGCCACUGUGAUUGGUCCAGUUACGGGUAUAUGAUGCAGAUCAAUCCAGUAAAACUCAACCUCGUGACUUUUACUGGAACCAUCAGUCAAGACGCCUUCUUUUUCUAGUGAAGUCAUUAAGACUAGAGCUCCAGGCUUCUUCAUCCAACUCCAAGGGUUCCCAGCAACAUGUGAAGUCCUCUAUCUGUCACUAAGAAGCCGUGUGAGUGAAGCAGGCUAUAUACCUUGGUUUCAACAUCUGUGAACAAGGUGUAAUGAUGGUUUUCUCAUCUUUUUUUAGGAUCGUUAUAAGAAUCUGAGACAGUGAGAGGGAAAAGAUUGUUUUCCAUUCAUUAGCUCAGGCUGGGCAUUGGAGGCAUCUCCUCUGAGCACCUGCUAAAACAGCACUGGCAAGUCACUCUUUGGAGCCAUUUCUGGAAAGAGGUUCUAUACAAAUAAAAUUAGAAAAGUCUGAAUUUAGCAUAUGAGAAAUGUUAUGGCCAUUGGUACCUAUCACUCUAAACACCAUUCUGCUUAUUCUUGUCAUGUAGGGGCAUUUGAUUUUUAAUCUAUCCACUUAAAUAUUGGCUGCUUCUAUAGACUUCCCAACCAGCAGUCCUUGUGCAGGCAAAACUCCCAUUUAACUGAAUGAAAGUAUUAAACAUAAAAUAUUGUUAGGAAGAGUCUGAUAUUGUAUUUAUCUUGCUGAUAAUUAUCUUACAUGUUUUAAUUACUCCCAGUAGUGUCCCAAGGCUGAUUAAAGGAAAAAUAUAAUUUACUCAUCGAAAUAAGAUAUUAUACAAGUAUCAAAUGAUAUUGAUAAAUAUUAAACAAUAAACUUUCCUAGAAUUCUUUCCCUAAAAAAUUGGGGACCUUAUACUUCACUAGUUAUAUAUUUCAGAGCAAGCUGGUUUAUAACAGAAUGAUAAAGGUGAUUAGAAUGAAAGAGAGGCCAUUUGGAUUGAUUCAGUUUUGCUACAUUUAUUAUAAUUUACAAUACUUUGCCAUAAAAAUAAAAUAGUUACCCAACCUCAGAUUACUGUCUUUAUAUUGUGGUUGAUUUUAUAAUUGCUGACCUUUAUCCCAUAGAUUUUUCAGGGUUAGUUAUUACUGGUUUUUACCUGAGAGAUUUGGGGGAGUUGUGUUUAUCGCUCAAAUAUCCAAUCUAAAUUUGGUUCUCUUAUAGCAAUGGAUGGAUGACUCACCUCUCAUAGGAAUGAUAGAACUUGGAUCAUCUUGUCAAUCACAGAGCUUGGUGGCCUUCUACAAAUGUUUGUGGAAUGAAUAAGUGAGAGAAUGAGAGAUUAAUAAAGCCAAUACUAUCACCAGUCCAACGAAGAGCUGCAACUGAAAAAAAAGUCUGACAAAGUAUGAUGUACAUUGAAAAUGAAAAGAAACCAUUCUAUUCUUCGUGAAGUUAGACCUGGAUAGCUAUGUAUAGCUCUGCUCUCUGCAAUUUAAGAGAAAUAAUCUGGAAAUGCAGAAGAAAUAGGGAAAAGCACUUGUAACGUGCAGUUUUAUGUGUCAACUUGGGUAGGCCAUAAUACCCAGUUAUUUAGUCAAACACUAAUCUAGGUGCAGCUGUGAAGGCACUUUGUAGACGUGUUUAACAUCUAAAAUAAGCUCACAUUAAGUAAGAGAUUAUCCUCAAUAAUGUGGGUGGGCCUCACUGAAUCAAUUGGAAGUCCUGAGAGCAAAAACUGAGGUUUGCCAGGGAAGAAGAAAUUUGACCUCAAAACUGCAACAUAGAAAUCCUGACUAAGCUUCCAGGCUGCUGGCUUGCCCUACAAAUUUCAGAUAUACCAGGCCCCAAUCUUACGAACCAAUUUCUUAAAAUAAAUCAUGUAUGCGUAUUCGUUAAUAUACACACUCAUAUAAAGAACACACAUAUGUGUACAUAUAUGUAUAUGUGUGUGUAUGUUCUAUUGGUUUCGUUUCUCUUGAGAGCCCUCGCUGAUAGAGAUUUUAGUACCAAGAAGUAGGGUGCUAUUGUGUAAAUAAAUAAAUAAAUAAAUAAAAAUAUGGAAGUAGCUUUGGAACUGAAUAAUGGAUAGAGGCUGGAAGAGUUUUUAGGUGCAUGAUAGAAAAAUCUUAGAUUGCUUUGAAGAGAUUCUAAUAGAAAUGUCAGAGGCGUUUGAACCAGAGCAACUCCAUCUUUAACAGGGGCUGGGUAAAAUGAGGCUGAGACCUACUGCGCUGCAUUCCCAGGAGGUUAGACAUUCUAAGUCACAGAAUGAGACAGGAGGUUGGCACAAGAUACAGGUCACAAAGACCUUGCUGAUGAAACAACUUCCAAUAAAGAAGCUGGCCAAAACCCACCAAAACCAAGAUGGUGACAAAAGUGACCUCUGGUGGUCCUCACUGCUCAUUAUACGCUAAUUAUAAUAUAUUAGCUUGCUAAAAGACACCCUCACCAGUGCCAUGACAAUUUACAGAUGCCAUGACAACAUCAGGAAGUUACCCUAUAUGGCCGAAAAGGGGAAGGAACCCCCAGUUCCAGGAAUUGCCCACCCCUUUCCCA
rnacentral:lncRNA from 1 species